rnacentral:rRNA from 1 species
GGAGGGUGCAAGCGUUAUCCGGAUUCACUGGGUUUAAAGGGUGCGUAGGCGGGCAGGUAAGUCCGUGGUGAAAUCUCCAAGCUUAACUUGGAAACUGCCGUGGAUACUAUUUGUCUUGAAUAUAGUGGAGGUGAGCGGAAUAUGUCAUGUAGCGGUGAAAUGCUUAGAUAUGACAUAGAACACCCAUUGCGAAGGCAGCUCGCUACACUAUUAUUGACGCUGAGGCACGAAAGCGUGGGGAUCAAACAGGAUUAGAUACCCUGGUAGUCCACGCCCUAAACGAUGAUUACUCGACAUCAGCGAUACACUGUUGGUGUCUGAGCGAAAGCAUUAAGUAAUCCACCUGGGAAGUACGACCGCAAGG